AGCGAACGCUGGCGGCAGGCCUAAUACAUGCAAGUCGAACGAUCCUUCGGGAUAGUGGCGGACGGGUGAGUAACACGUGGGAACGUACCUUUUGGUUCGGAACAACUCAGGGAAACUUGAGCUAAUACCGGAUGAGCCCUUAGGGGGAAAGAUUUAUCGCCGAAAGAGCGGCCCGCGUUAGAUUAGCUAGUUGGUGAGGUAAAGGCUCACCAAGGCAACGAUCUAUAGCUGGUCUGAGAGGAUGAUCAGCCACACUGGGACUGAGACACGGCCCAGACUCCUACGGGAGGCAGCAGUGGGGAAUCUUGCGCAAUGGGCGAAAGCCUGACGCAGCCAUGCCGCGUGAAUGAUGAAGGUCUUAGGAUUGUAAAAUUCUUUUACCAGGGACGAUAAUGACGGUACCUGGAGAAAAAGCCCCGGCUAACUUCGUGCCAGCCGCCGCCGUAACAC
rnacentral:rRNA from 1 species